rnacentral:rRNA from 1 species
GAGUGAACGCUAGCUACAGGCUUAACACAUGCAAGUCGAGGGGCAGCAUGGUCUUAGCUUGCUAAGGCCGAUGGCGACCGGCGCACGGGUGAGUAACGCGUAUCCGACCUGCCUUACACUCUUGGACAGCCUUCUGAAAGGGAGAUUAAUACAAGAUGUUAUCAUGAGUAAGCAUUUUCGCAUGAUUAAAGGUUUACCGGUGUAAGAUGGGGAUGCGUUCCAUUAGAUAGUAGGCGGGGUAACGGCCCACCUGGUCUUCGAUGGAUAGGGGUUCUGAGAGGAAGAUCCCCCACAUUGGAACUGAGACACGGCCCAA